rnacentral:rRNA from 1 species
UACGUAGGGUGCGAGCGUUGUCCGGAAUUAUUGGGCGUAAAGAGCUCGUAGGCGGUUUGUCGCGUCUGCUGUGAAAACGCGAGGCUCAACCUCGGGCCUGCAGUGGGUACGGGCAGACUAGAGUGCGGUAGGGGAGAUUGGAAUUCCUGGUGUAGCGGUGGAAUGCGCAGAUAUCAGGAGGAACACCAAUGGCGAAGGCAGAUCUCUGGGCCGUAACUGACGCUGAGGAGCGAAAGCAUGGGGAGCGAACAGG